ensembl:lncRNA
GAUGUGGUUCAUUUUCAGGAUGAAGUAGGUGGGUGGCCUUGGGUGGAAAAUUAUUAACAAAUGGUUUUCCACUCAGAGCUAGCUAGUUUUGUCUUGGAAAAUUACUGACAAGCUACUGUUGCCUAACAGCUUAUAUCUAGAGAGUUCCUAAAUAACAGGAUGUUUGGGAAGCGAUAAACUAAAGCCCUUGUUGAGAAAUGUGGGCUUAGCAUGGGAAGGGAGAAGAAAGAGACUUUGGUGAUGUCCAGGAAGAUUGUAACCCCAUAAUACUCAGCCAGUGAGGAACCAGGGAGGGAUCUUUGUACCAGCAAGAGAGACUGAGAAACAUGAUGUGCAGAACUGAGCUCUCUGCUUUUAAAAGAAGAAAGAGAAGGAGCAUGAGGAGAAAAUAAAGAAGCUUGAACAUCAGGAAGUUCAUGGUUCACAUAGACCUAGAGGAGCUAUCCGAUGUUGAAGGUCAGGAAGGGCGGUGGUGAGGAGAUACCCCUCAUCCAAAGUAAGGAGCAAUGGCUGCGCUUUGCUGGAGCAGCCAUGAAGAGAUACACCACGCCCAAGGGACAAACAUAACAGGCAUAUUUUCAACAUCGGAAUUAUUCUUUCAAGACUUCCCGGGUGGUCCAAUGGUUAAGAAUCCACCUGCCAAUGCAGGGGCCACAGGUUCAGUUCCUGGUUGGGGAAGAUCCCACAUACCACUCAGCAAAUAAGCCCAGGCACCACAACUACUGAAACCUGGACCCUAGAACCUGUGCUCUGC